GCUAGAGUGAGACUGAUUGGCAGUGCCAUAAACAGGUACUGGUGGGCACCAGCCAGUGUCCAACAGUUUGGAACGGGGAAGAAUCACAGAUAUCUAUCAUGGCAUGAAGUCUGGAAACGGUGCUGGUAAAUGCCAGUUGGACAACAGGUGACAUGUCUCCUGGCUGCACAAGUAGAGAGAUAGGUCCAGCUUUUUAGGGGGGCCCUGACCUUAAGUAAAGCACUAGUGUAGAUGUAUUGCUGGCCACACUCAUUGCUGUACAGCCAUGCACUCACUGGGCAAGUUCGCUACUGCAAGUCCAAACCCCACUUGUUGUGCGAGUACACCUGGGUGUAUGUUCCACAUCUGGAGCACAACCAAUUCUUUCAUUAUUAAUAUAGUUCAG